rnacentral:misc_RNA from 1 species
GACCUUAUCUACAAAAACUAUACAUGCAAGCGUCAAUCUGUCAUCAAAUGCUUGUUAUCAUCCACAGUGGUUUCAACCUCUUUUAUUGUCAACAAAGAAUAACAAAAGCUAAUCAACAGUACAAGUCCGGAACUCAAAAGAAAAUGAAUGGACAGCCAUCUGAAAUAUGUUUUCUAAAUAAGUCCAUUUUACAGAAACAGUUUUGUCUAACAUUGUAUAUAUUCCCACCCCUAAAUACACAAAAGGCUUCUCAUCAAAGGUGAAAUUAGGGCGGUGAAAAAAUCAGGACUGCUUGGCAUCUCUUAAAACAAUCCGAGGUGAUAUCACAGCAGGCAGUGUUAAAUUAUCACUAAGAUCCGACAGUUCAAACCCCAAAAGAUCUAAAUACAAGGUGAUUUCUUCCACAGUUGGAUAUAGACAGGAAUUGCCUUCCCUGUAGAAAGAAAAAAUAAAUCUGCAGAUUUGAAAGCCUUACCAUCCUUCCAACCGUGACACCUACAAACUCCUGUAGUCUAUAACAGUGACUUCAUCUUCUGGAGCAUCUAGGUCUUGAUAGCUGCAAAAACAUUCGAUGCUUGAGAGAGUUCACAUCUUGAUCAGGAAAAUAAUCAAUAAAUAGACUAGACAUUAACAUACAAUAUAGAAACUAAUAACAGGAUGAGAACCAUUAACAGCAUAUAUCAUAUAUUACCAGUAUUAUUGAUGACAUAAUAAGAUUGACCUGAACAAGUAAAAUAAGUUCAAAAAACAAAGAAACCUGCUUGUAAUGGACAUGCCUUGAGAACAUAGCUAUGCAGUGUUUGUACAAACCUGUUUAGCUAAAUAAUAUUAUGAUUUGCAUAAACCUGCUCAGCUAAAUAACAUUAUGAAGCGUCAGAAUACUGAUAUUGUUUUUUCCUUUUUCCUAAUCCCACCACAAAUCCAAGGUUAUCCCCUUUUUUCCCUCCCUGUCCCACAGAACCGUAAUACUUCACUUUGAAUCCAAAGAACACAAAUAUCUCCUCAAAGCAAUUAAUUUUACGAAGCCACUCUAGAAUUGUUUGUGUGUGAACAUGCGUAAGCACCAAAAAGAAUGAAUGUAAAUUGGAGGCAAAGACUUGAGGAAAACACCACAUGAAAAUAUAAAAGAACAUGAACUUUGGCUGGAAGAGUUUCCAGUAAAAAAUACCUCCGUAUUCGCCGAGGAUCCUGUCGAAAAGCUGGAGAAAGAAGAAUGGGAGCUGGUCCACUUAACUGGGGCCCAGGCCUUCCAUUUCGGCCACCACCUUCAAAUGGAGGAGGACCACCCUGCUCUCUGAACAUCCGCAUUGCAACUUCUGGCGGAGCAGGAACAAAAGGCCCUAGUGGACCAGCACCAGGAACAGGCAUCAAUACUGGUGGAGGAGGUAUGUCUGAUGGGAAAGGAGGUACACGCAUGCCUUGUGCACCAAAAUUAUCAUACAUUGGAUCAUCAUGAUUUCCUCCCUCAGGCCCAUCAUUGUUGGCCUGGAAGUCACCUGACUGUGGGUUUUCAGACCUAUCAUAUCUUUCACUGCCAUUUGUUCGACUGUCACGAUCUCUACGGCCACCUCGUUCAUCCUUCAAUCGAUUUUCUGGACCUAGCUUACGUCUCUGUGGUUUGUCUUUCUGCAAAUAAAAGAAUGCAAAUUAAAACAGAAGGCAAAAAGAACAGCAGGCAAGAUCAUUUUCACUGUCAUUAGGAAGAACGAUGAUAAUACAAGAUAAUAUUAACACUAGUUGCUGUCUGAUGGAACAUAUCUUUGAUAUCUGAAAUUUAGUUAUCAAGCAUCAUCACUUUUAAGUAGAGGGAGACAAAUCAGAAUAUAAAUCUAGAAGAUCAACAUUCAUGAAAAACACUACAAGGCUAAGUUAUAUUGGACAUGGUACAAGGGAGUGCUAUCCUGUGAACAAAAUAUUAGGUGGAGUGUAUCUAGGAGCCAUAUGAGAAGGUACAUGCAAACAACAUAACCAGACUGUUUCAAACCCAGUUAACUUAUACUCGAAGGAGGGAGAGCAAGAAAGGAAGCUACUUCGUGCUAUCAAAAUCAUUAAUCGACAUUGUCUAUUAGAUAGACAACAUAAAUGACACGUGCAAAGCCAUGUGGUCCAUCAACUAGUACUAAUUACAUGAACCAUACUUGUAAAGGCUGCUGCAUAACAGGUGUGCCACCAGGUGCAUCUGGAUCAUUCAUGUAGUUCUGGAAAUACAGCUCUUCCCGCACUUUGGACGUCCGCUCCAUCACAAGUUCAGGGUGUUUCAGUUUUAGAUGCUUAUGCACAAACUCAGCAGCAUGAAAGAGCUUUGUACAACCCUUGGCUCCACAACCAUACUUCCACCCAUAUUUUUCAUCCCUAAUCUUUCGGACAUAUGGAUCCAAGGAUUCAACAGCAGCAGCAUCUAUCUUUUCCUUUGCAGUCAUUACUUCCAAAGGAUCUUGACUCCUCAAUCUUUCUUGCCAGUGUGAAUCCAGUUUCUUUUCCCACUCAUUCCCAUUAUUAGUCACAUCAGCACUUUUCCCCUCUGCUCUCACAUGCCUAAGACCCUUAGCUUCAGUUGUUUCAAUCAUUCCAUAAUAAUCCAAUCCAUGAACACGCCAAAGAUAAGUAAUAAGUGUAUCCAACAGUUCAGAGCCCUCCAGACCUUUGACAGAGGUUAAGCCUCGUAUGAUGAUAACAGGGCCAGUGGAGCUGCUAUGAGAUUUCUCUCCAUUGAUUUUGUCAUUAUCAGAUCCACCUAAAAUAUUUUCUUCAAUUCCCUUUUCAGAGUCAAGCUUGCGUACAAGGGCCAGAGCUUGUUCAACAUCAACUUGAAUUCUUCUGGAUUCUGAGCUGACUGGGUGAGCCUUAGGAGCAACUGAGAGAAGAACAGUUUCUUUAGCUUGCGUACGGCCCUGCCGUCUUCUUUUGCCUCCAGUGUCUACUUCAUCAUCAGAAUUUGGAUCACUCAUCUGUCCUGAUUUAUUUGCAGAUAGGGCAUUGAUACCAGGACCUAAGUCCAAGGUUCCACUUUGCAAGUCAAGUAAAAAGUCCUUUGCAACCUUCCGCGCCAGUUCAUUCCUCCUUUCAAUGACUGCAACCAAAUUGGUUGGAUGAUAUUUGUCUCUCAACCAUUCUUCAUCUUUAUGAGACUCAAAGAAAACUCGUUUCUGAGUAGAAAUGUACUCUGACUUGUAUUCUUGAUAUCUGCGCUCUGCUUCAGCUGGUACAAUAUCAUCUUCAAGCUCCUGAAUGAACUGCUUGUAUGACAUCAAGCCUUCUCUUUGAGCGCUCACUGUGUUGGAAGCAUCGACACAACCACCACGUCCAGAAUCCCAAUCAGAGGGACUGCUUUGAAAUCCACCUGCACGACACAUGUACCGGCCAUGAGGCCUGUCUUCAGGAUACCCAGGCCUGCCCCCCAUCUCACGUUCAUAUCCACCAGCAUAAUCAUAUCCAAACCUUCGAUCGCCGGGUCCAAAUCCACCUCUAGGGCUCCCUCUCCUCCCUUCAUACCCUCCAUCUUCCCUCCUCGACCUCUUAUACGGUGGUGAUCUCCUCGGUGGCGGGGAAUGCCUCCUGUCCCUGUAUGGCAAGGGAGGAGGACUCAAACUGUUCCUCCUCUUGCAAUCUCUCUCCCUCUCUCUAGGUGGGGGAGACCGAUUCCUAUCGUAAUAAUCACCGCCCCGUCGAUUCGGCGGCCUAUCGAGGUCCCUAUCUCGGGAGUCUCUGUCGCGCCGUCGAGAGGUGUUCUGCGUAGGGGGAGGAGGUGGUUGUGGCGGAGAGGACGAUUGAGGGUCGUCGGCGGAGGACUUCUCCUUGCGUUCACGGCUGCGGCGAUCCAGAGAAUCGACAGGCAUGUUUAUGACCUCGGCCAUGAUGGGAAUUGUUUGGUUAGGUUGAAUUGGGGAAGAUUUUGGUGAAACCCUAGAAAAGAGGAAAGAAAAUGAAAACAAGGAUGAGAACGAUGAUGAGUUCGUCAGUCUGCUCAGUUUUACAAGCUCAGAA